AUACGUAGGGUGCGAGCGUUGUCCGGAAUUACUGGGCGUAAAGAGCUCGUAGGUGGUUUGUCGCGUCGUCUGUGAAAUUCCGGGGCUUAACUCCGGGCGUGCAGGCGAUACGGGCAUAACUUGAGUACUGUAGGGGAGACUGGAAUUCCUGGUGUAGCGGUGAGAUGCGCAGAUAUCAGGAGGAACACCGGUGGCGAAGGCGGGUCUCGGGGCAGUAACUGACGCUGAGGAGCGAAAGCAUGGGUAGCGAACAGGAUUAGAUACCCUGGUAGUCCAUGCCGUAAACGGUGGGCGCUAGGUGUAGGGGUCUUCCACGACUUCUGUGCCGUAGCUAACGCAUUAAGCGCCCCGCCUGGGGAGUACGGCCGCAAGGCUAAAACUCAAAGGAAUUGACGGGG
rnacentral:rRNA from 1 species